rnacentral:rRNA from 1 species
UAAGGAAUCUUCCACAAUGGGCGAAAGCCUGAUGGAGCAACGCCGCGUGCAGGAUGAAGGCCCUCGGGUCGUAAACUGCUUUUAUAAGUGAGGAUUAUGACGGUAACUUAUGAAUAAGGGUCGGCUAACUACGUGCCAGCAGCCGCGGUCAUACGUAGGACCCAAGCGUUAUCCGGAGUGACUGGGCGUAAAGAGUUGCGUAGGCGGUUUGUUAAGCGAAUAGUGAAAUCAUGUGGCUCAACCAUUAUGACUAUUGUUCGAACUGGCAAACUCGAGAGUAGUAGAGGUAACUGGAAUUUCUAGUGUAGGAGUGAAAUCCGUAGAUAUUAGAAGGAACACCAAUGGCGUAGGCAGGUUACUAGACUAUUUCUGACGCUGAGGCACGAAAGCGUGGGGAGCG